UUCAUUAGUGUUCGCCAUAUGCUUAAAUGAGUUGUACAUUUCAAAUCUUCUUGUCUCUCGUAUAGAUCUGCAAGUCCUUGUGUUCCAGUUUUGUUUCAAGGUUUCUUACUAAACGAUUAGAAGUGUAGAUUAAUAUCAACUUAUGAAUCGAUUUUAUAUUAAUGGUUCUAUCACAAAAUCGAUUAUGAUUAAGUUAUUGUUAAGAAAUUGAAAAUUGGAUCUUUGAUUUGAAUUCGGUGAUGAAAUCUCAAAGCGAAAGUCAAGAACAUGAUGAACAGUGAUGAAGAACAGUUCAAAUAGUAUGUUUGAUCCGAACUUCAAUUCCAACCUAUAUAAGUCCGAUCUUAGGGAUAAACUCCUGCUCCUUCGACUCUUCCCAAAUAUACAGGUACCGUCAAUUUUCAUCCAUUCCUGUUCUUCAAUUUCGUUGUUCUACAAUUGUUUUUGGUGGUUUUUGGCCGGAUAACUUAACUUCUCCAAUGGAGCAUCAGUCAAGCCACCAUAAAUUUGCAUUGGUCAUCCUGAAUUCGUCGCUAGAAAGGUGGGCUGAAAAGGAUGUGGAUCCGACAUAAUUCUCAAGAGAACUUACGAAAAAAACUUCAUAUUUAGUUGAGGAUGAGGAGGAGAAAUCAAGGAGUCACGGAUGGUUAUUUUUGUCAUUUUCUGGAAUCUUUUAGGAAUCGUAUCCUUUUCAAGAUGGAAUCUAGGGCAAUUUUUCCUACUAUGUUCGACAAAGGCAAAACAAGUGGAUUGAGGGGUAUUGUUGUCUUUUUUUUUUUUUAUAGCAUUUUCAAUAUUGGUUUAAUGUAAAUGUACAUAUAUGAUACAGUGGUCAAAAGAAAGUUUAAAACUGAUCUUUCGAAAAUGUAGUUGGUACUUUCUCAUGUGUAAUGGUGCUGAGAUGGGCAUAUUGGUCAUAAAAAUAUUGAUGAGGUCUGUAUUUACGAGACUUGAAGCAUGUGUGUAUGGGGGUGAGAAUGGACUUAAAUGUCAAAAUGUAUUAGCUUGUAUUGUAACUUAUGCAUUAAAUAUUUAAUUGGGUAUUGGUUUGGAGAAAAA